CAACAAUUCUUCAUUUUUGCAGUGAAACAUGAAGAAUUGGACAAAUAAUACGGUUUAGAUAGCCCAUAGGGAAGGCCCAGUAAACUCCUUGCUCAGAGAAGAGGCAUCGCUUGAAGACCCUAUUCUUUGAUGAGCACCAAAAACUCUCUUGACGAUUGACUCUCCAAGAUGAUGGGUUCCACUUUUCCAGCUUCAGAUCGGCAGCCAACCAUAACCAGUCUAAUAGAGCUUACUCUGCUGCUCAUGGAUCAAACCCAAAGAAGUCACAAACAUAGGUAUACUGUUAAGAGCACUGAAUGUAGCAAGAGAUGAGGUCGUUGAAGCUCUUUCGGAUGGUAAGUGAUUUCUUCUUUCCCAUUAUAUUGAUAAAUUAGCUCCUCCACUCUACUUAGUGAUAAAGAAAUUUUGUCAACAAAUUGAAAAUUUACAUUUAAGCAAUGGUAUGGCUCUCUAGAGUAGGUAACCACAUACUUUCUAUAUUUAAUUUCCAUUGUCCUGACUAAAAGAACUGAAAUAGAUUGCAUGUUUUGUUGUUAGCUCAAGUUAUUAUGCCAUAUGUCAUGUUAGCUUAAAGCAUUUCAGAGUUCAGAAUAAUCAGUUGAUAAAAUCUGUGGUAGCACAACCUAUUAGGAUGCUCACAUUGUAUCUUAAAACGGUUAAACCACUGUUAGGGAAAGAAAAGGAGGAGACAAAACAUGAGAGCGAAAAGCUUAAUAUGUAGUCAUCAUUGUUACUCGGAAAAUAAGAAUAUAAUGAGUCUUAACAGUAAAACUUCGGAUUCCACAUACACCAUUAUGUCAAUAGAGUGAAUAUACCUAUAGGAUAUAUACCAAUAUUUGAAAAUUAGAAUAAAGGCAGUCAGAAUUCAAAGCUUACAUUGUAAUAAACCAACAUAUUGUCUAACAUAAUUUCUUGAUUCCCCUACAUCAGUACAUCCUCCAUUUGUGUUCAUUAUCGAUUGUAUUUAAAGUUCUCCAGUACUUAGAUCUUGUCCAUAGAAACCCUCGUGCAUGAAAACUGUUAAAUCAUUUGAUGUUUACCCUAUCAAGUACUUUGAACUUUUACCGUAUGUUUUUGCUGAAGAAGAAUGACUGCAACUGACAAUUACAGUAGACUAUGCCUUCUGUGUCUUUGAACUUUACCUUUGACAUUCUUAGGCUUCCUGUGUUUGCGCUGCAUACCUUCAAUCUGCUUUUUGGCAGUAGCAUGUACCUUCUGCUUCUUUUUCAGAUGAAACUUGAGAAUAGCAUCCUCUAUUUCUACUUUCUUCUUCCUUAUCCUUGAUGAUGAAGGUCUCUGUGAUGGUUCCUUUUUUAGCAUCCUCAUCACCCAUGUCUUUAGUAAGCCAUCAGGCCAGCUGUCAGGAAGCUCUGCUUUUCCUCGUUUUGUCAGCAUACGAAUUACCUCAGAUGCUUUAUGUCCUCCAGUACUGUUAAGUAGCAUCUCAACCAGCAGAAUACCCAAACUAAACACAUCAGCUUUUGCAUUAACCAGUUCAUCAGGUGCUGAGUAUGGAGGUCUGGUUUUAAUCUCAUUUGUACCAUCGCCUAUUUCCUGGGCUGCAGAACAUUAAGUAGUAGAAGUGUUAAUUAGGUCCCAAUGAUACCUGGCAUCUCUAGUUAAGUCUUGGUUCUAUUCAAUGUAAAACCAAAAGUGAACUCACCGAGGCCAAAAUCUCCAAUUUUCAGCAGGCCGUUGCUGAAGAAUAUAUUUGCCUUCUUAAUGUCUCCAUGCAUGAUAUUGUGACCAUGAAUGUGUUUCAGGCCUUUUGCGGUUUCCAAGAAAAUGUGUGCACAUUCUUCCAGCGAACAAAAGACCAAGUCAAAAUCGUUUGUCUGUAGACUAAAGUAGUAAGUUAUCUUGGGUGCAAAAAGGUUUUAGGAAUUAGUUGCUUGAAAUGAUAUCAUUCUCUCCCUCCUUUCUCUUAGAGUGGUAGGGAAAAAUGGAGGAUAGUGUAGUUUCAUUUUCAAAGUUUUUACGAUGGGGUACUCUUUUCGCCUCUAACUCGGAAUUACCGAGCAAUGUUUUGACAAGGCCCAUUGCUAUCCUA